UACGUAGGGGGCAAGCGUUGUCCGGAUUUAUUGGGCGUAAAGAGCGUGUAGGCGGCCUGAAAGGUCAGCUGUGAAAACUCGAGGCUCAACCUCGAGACGUCGGUUGAAACCAUCUGGCUAGAGUCCGGAAGAGGAGAGUGGAAUUCCCGGUGUAGCGGUGAAAUGCGCAGAUAUCGGGAAGAACACCCGUGGCGAAGGCAGCUCGCUGGGACGGUACUGACACUGAGACGCGAAAGCGUGGGGAGCAAACAGG
rnacentral:rRNA from 1 species